UAGAGAUUGUUAAAUGAAACACGUAUUG
rnacentral:sRNA from 1 species